rnacentral:rRNA from 1 species
CGUAGGGCGCAAGCGUUGUCCGGAAUUAUUGGGCGUAAAGAGCUCGUAGGCGGUCUGUUGCGUCCGCUGUGAAAACUCGGGGCUUAACCCCGAGCCUGCAGUGGAUACGGGCAGACUAGAGGUAGGUAGGGGAGAAUGGAAUUCCCGGUGUAGCGGUGAAAUGCGCAGAUAUCGGGAGGAACACCGGUGGCGAAGGUGGUUCUCUGGGCCUUACCUGACGCUGAGGAGCGAAAGCGUGGGGAGCGAACAGGAUUAGAUACCCUGGUAGUCCACGCCGUAAACGUUGGGCGCUAGGUGUGGGAUCCUUCCACGGAUUCCGUGCCGCAGCUAACGCAUUAAGCGCCCCGCCUGGGGAGUACGGCCGCAAGGCUA